GACAGAGGUCCCGAGCGUUAGGCGGAAUCACUGGGCUUAAAGCGUGUGUAGGCGGAUCGUUAAGUGCCUUGUGAAAUCCCGCGGCUUAACCGUGGAACUGCUUGGCAUACUGGCGGUCUUGAGCCACCUAGGGGCAACCGGAACAAAUGGUGGAGCGGUGAAAUGCGUAGAUAUCAUUUGGAACGCCAAUGGUGAAAACAGGUUGCUGGGGGUGUGCUGACGCUGAGACACGAAAGCCAGGGGAGCGAACGGG
rnacentral:rRNA from 1 species